AGAAAACAAGUUUAAAUAUAGUUAACAGCAAAUAAUUUUUACUUUUUGAAUUUUUAACCACAAUAUUUUAAGAGGGAAAGUUGUGUGCAUCUCUCAACAGCCUUCUUAAUGUGUUGCUUAUUUUCCUCCUCAAAGUAGUUUAGGAAUAGUGUCAGGUAGCUUUCUGUCCUAUCAAAUUUGAAUGGCUGGUCCUGACCAAGUUCAUCUUCCUCAUUCCAUAUCCACACAAGUUUCUUUUACCAUAAAUAUGGGAAGGCAUUCCCCCCACCCCUUCUUUAAGAUUCCCAUCUCAUAUUUAUUUGGGGCUGGUGAAAGAUUUCCUAUAGCUUUUAUUUAAUCUACUUAACUUCGCGGGUGAAGUAUUACCUGGUGUCUAUACUGUAGGUUCCCUCUGACCUGGGGUCCAGAAGGAAGCAGACGGUCCUCCUGUUCUAUUGUUAGGUCAACAGCAGCCUACCGCUGCAGCCCUGCCUGUCACUCCCCUCACUUCAUCAUGCAGGCAGUGCAUCUCCCGUCCUCACUAGAAGGGUGCGCACAGUACAAGGUAAUUUAAGAGAGACUAUAUUCAUAUAGCAUCACAAUAUGUUAUGCUUGUUCUAUUUUAUUAUCAUUGUUAAUGUUACUGUGCCUGGUUUAUAAACUUUAUCACAGGUAUGUAUGUACAGAGAAAAACAUACAUAACGGGUUCAGGACUAUCUGUGGUUUCAGGCAUCCACUGGGGGUCUUGGAAUGUAGCCCUGUGGGUGAAAAGGGGACUACUGGAUUUUGUCUGAUCAGUAUUUAGGAUUCACUCAAGUGCACUGGAGUAAAUUCUGCCCUUUACCGCACUCAAAACGAUUUAAGAACUCUAAGAAUUGAUAUGAGGCCCUUAGAAUCCUGGUGAUGAGUUGCAUAUAUUUUUUAAAAGACACCUGCCCACUUACCUUAAUCAUAAGUUGUCACUCAUUUAUUUUUGAAAUACCUAUGGUAAAUCUUUGAGACUUUGUUUCUGUUCAAGUGAGUCAGUGUUUGAAGCUCAGGCAGUUCCUCAUCGUGACCAGUACUUUGACCACAUGUAUGUGAAACGAUGUUUCACUACUAAAAAUUCCUUAGGCUUGUGGGAGCAGAGUUGUAUCUCAGAAGAUCACGAGAUGCAGUGCUCAUUUUGAAGACCUCUGCUCUUAACAGAAGCUCCCGAAGCAAAGUGGAGUCAUCAGUGGGCCUUACCCUCACCACGUGGAAAAAGGUGGAAAAAGCAGUUGUCUGGAAGCUAAACCCCUGGGUCCUGCACUCUACUGAUGGACCUGCAGUGGUACUAGUUGGUGCUACAAGUGAAUUUUUUUACACUUGAAAAGAGAUGACCCCUGUAGGCAUUUUCACAGUGAAAUUUUGGACCAACAAAGCUAGCUGGUUCCUGUGAUCUGUUAACCCAUGAUAGGUUUAACUUGGAUGUUCCCCACUUUUUGCAGAGUAAUUUUUAUAAUGACUUUGUAAUGAAUGAUUUAAACAAUUUAAAAAACACACUGGAAGAAAUUAAUUUAGUUAUUGCUAGAAUCAACAAACUUAUACGAUAAACUCAUCUUAAAAUAAAAAGCUUAACAAUAGAAUCCAGCAGAGUUGAACUUUGGCUUUUAAGGUCCUGCCCAUUUAUAGUAGUUUAAUGAAAAAGAAUUACAUGAAAGUGUCUCAAGCAAAUGGUUAGAUUCUAGCUAACUGCUACCUCAGCAUUUUCCUAUGCUAGGCACUGAACCAAAUACUACUAACAUAUGCUAUGCAAUAAGGAAGGGAUAAUCUCCAUUCUGUAGGUGACUUAAAUUCAGAGUGACCUGUUGUUGGGGUCACCUAUGAUGUGACAGAACUGAUUGAGAUCUAGGUCGGUCUUCAGGUCUCCCUCGACACUUAACUAUGGAGUCUCUGGGAUAUACAGUGGCCUUUAAAGGCUCCCACCAGGAAAACACUUUGGAGUUUCACAAGCCACAACUUUAGUGGUUUUCCUGUUGUUUACCCCUGAGAAGUAGGCCCUGAAGUAAAACAGAAAACAGAGCCAUCCAAUAUAAAUCAUCCUAAACAAUUUUAUGUCAUAUUGUGCCUAACCGGUACAUCAGUGGCAAGUAAAUACUAGAACAGAUCAAGUGUAUUCAUAUAACAAAUGAUCUAGCCACAAGAUGUCCUCAUACGCUAAUAUACAUAUCAAGCAGGACGACGUGUAAACUCCCCUUACUCAGGCAUUGACAUGAGUAUAGCAAGCACUGGCAAUGCGAAGAUGAAUGAAAUCCAAUCCCUGCUCUAAGGGGUUCACAACCUAAAGGAAGAGGUGAGUACACAGGGGAGGGACUUCCUAGAGACAGAAUAAAUACAAGUUGCUAGAGGGAUAUCUAACUUAUAACAGUACGCGUCUUCAGAGAACAGACAUUAGUAAGCUUUCUCUCUUAUACAGGUUCUCUGCCGCCUUGAACCUGGAAAAGAGGGGCUACUGGAGAAGGACCAUCCCCAUCCCAUAUGCACUGAGGUCUGUGGCAAUGUCUAUUCACAUCUCCAGAUCUUCUCUGCAGGGGGGAAAACACUGACUUGUGUAGAAUUUCUGCAGGUGAUAUAGAUUGGAAUCCAGAAGCUGAAUAUGGAGCCGUUCGCAGGAAGGGACAGUGCCCCGCAGGAAAGUAAACACGGUGAGCCAAGGACCAGCACACAGCUUAGUUGUCCUACACAGUGACACGAAUAAGACGGCAACAAAGAAAUUUUAAGUAAUCUCUGUUCACUGAGGAACAGCAUUCCAGAAAUUCCUGCAACUCCUAUGCUGGUUGAAUAAAAAUUACACUGUUUUUUUUUUUUAAAGUGUUCUGUGCUGAAUUUUAAAAAUAUAUACAUUUAAUUUUUAUCAAAGCUCUCAGAUCACUUUCUGAGUGGAGGACUUGGAUAAAAGGGCUAUGUAGACAAGUGGUAGAGC